UUGGAUGGCGUGUGUUCAGAGGAUUCUGGU
rnacentral:piRNA from 1 species